GCACUCAUUGUUUGAACUGCUUAUAGUGAAAAUGGAGCAAUAGAGAAGAUUGGCAUGAUAUGUGUGCUAGGCAGAUAUGCAAAUAUGCGAACCAUUUUUAAUUUUU
ensembl:snRNA U6 U6 spliceosomal RNA